rnacentral:rRNA from 1 species
UUGAAGAGCUUGCUCAGAUAUGAUGAUGGACAUUGCAACAGAGUGGCGAACGGGUGAGUAACACGUGGGAAACCUACCUCUUAGCAGGGGAUAACAUUUGGAAACAGAUGCUAAUACCGUAUAACAAUAGCAACCGCAUGGUUGCUACUUAAAAGAUGGUUCUGCUAUCACUAAGAGAUGGUCCCGCGGUGCAUUAGUUAGUUGGUGAGGUAAUGGCUCACCAAGACGAUGAUGCAUAGCCGAGUUGAGAGACUGAUCGGCCACAAUGGGACUGAGACACGGCCCAUACUCCUACGGGAGGCAGCAGUAGGGAAUCUUCCACAAUGGGCGAAAGCCUGAUGGAGCAACGCCGCGUGUGUGAUGAAGGGUUUCGGCUCGUAAAACACUGUUGUAAGAGAAGAAUGACAUUGAGAGUAACUGUUCAAUGUGUGACGGUAUCUUACCAGAAAGGAACGGCUAAAUACGUGCCAGCAGCCGCGGUAAUACGUAUGUUCCAAGCGUUAUCCGGAUUUAUUGGGCGUAAAGCGAGCGCAGACGGUUAUUUAAGUCUGAAGUGAAAGCCCUCAGCUCAACUGAGGAAUUGCUUUG